UUUUCCUUUUCAACAUUAUGUUGACCUUCCAAGUUGGAGGUUUCUGUCUGUGUUUGUAGAUUAUUUGAGGUUAGAGUUGUUGUUCUGGCUAGGGCCUUAAGCUUGGGUUUUCUUGAAAUGGACAGUUGUUUGAGCUUAGGGACUCUAUGGGCUUCUUGUAACUGAUGUUGUGUUUCAGAGAAAGGGUUGGCCAAAGUAAGGUUUGUGAAAGUAGAGCAAGGCUGAAUGGUGUUUAGGUCGAGAACUGGG
rnacentral:misc_RNA from 1 species